GACAGAGGUGCCGAGCGUUAGGCGGAAUCACUGGGCUUAAAGCGUGUGUAGGCGGAUCCGUAAGUACCUUGUGAAAUCCCACGGCUCAACCGUGGAACUGCUGGGUAUACUGCGGGUCUUGAGCCACCUAGGGGCGAGCGGAACAAGUGGUGGAGCGGUGAAAUGCGUAGAUAUCAGGAAGAACACCCGUGGCGAAGGCGGUUCUCUGGGACGGUACUGACGCUGAGACGCGAAAGCGUGGGGAGCGAACAGG
rnacentral:rRNA from 1 species